GCAAGACCGGUGCCAGCCGCCGCGGUAAUACCGGCGGCUCGAGUGGUGGCCACUAUUACUGGGCUUAAAGCGUCCGUAGCUUGAUUGUUAAGUCUCUUGGGAAAUCCACCGGCUCAACCGAUGGGCGUUCAGGAGAAACUGGCAAUCUAGGGACCGGGAGAGGUGAGAGGUACUCCAGGGGUAGGAGUGAAAUCCUGUAAUCCUUGGGGGACCACCUGUGGCGAAGGCGUCUCACUAGAACGGCUCCGACAGUGAGGGACGAAAGCUGGGGGAGCAAACCGGAUUAGAUACCCGGGUAGUCCCAGCUGUAAACGAUGCGCGUUAGGUGUAUCGGUGACCACGAGUCAUCGAGGUGCCGAAGGGAAACCGUGAAACGUGC
rnacentral:rRNA from 1 species